AACUGGAUCGGGACCCCCACGCGGGUGUUCAACGUGGGGGAGUAUCGCAGGGAGGCCGUGCCCAGGUACGAGAACUACGAGUUCUUUCGCCACGACAACCCCGAGGGGAUGGAAAUCCGCAGGCACUGCGCCCUGGCCGCCCUCAAGGACGUCCGGACCUACCUGAGCUCUGAGGGGGGGCAGGUGGCGGUGUUUGAUGCCACCAACACGACGCGG